rnacentral:rRNA from 1 species
UACAGGGGGGGCAAGCGUUGUUCGGAAUUACUGGGCGUAAAGGGCUCGUAGGUGGCCAACUAAGUCAGACGUGAAAUCCCUCGGCUUAACCGGGGAACUGCGUCUGAUACUGGAUGGCUUGAGUUCGGGAGAGGGAUGCGGAAUUCCAGGUGUAGCGGUGAAAUGCGUAGAUAUCUGGAGGAACACCGGUGGCGAAGGCGGCAUCCUGGACCGACACUGACGCUGAGGAGCGAAAGCCAGGGGAGCAAACGGG